rnacentral:rRNA from 1 species
UCGACGAGGAGCUUUUGUCUUCGGACGGGAGAAUUCCUAGUGGCGAACGGGUGAGUAACGCGUUGGUGACCUGCCCCAAAGAAGGGGAUAACAGCUCGAAAGGACUGCUAAUACCCUAUGUGAUCAGUUGGAUUAGACGCCUACUGAUUAAAGGAGUAAUCCACUUUGGGAGGGACCUGCGUCCCAUCAGCUAGUUGGUAGGGUAACGGCCUACCAAGGCAAUGACGGGUAGGGGACCUGAGAGGGUGACCCCCCACAAUGGCACUGAAACACGGGCCAUACACCUGCGGGUGGCAGCAGUAGGGAAUAUUGGACAAUGGGCGAAAGCCUGAUCCAGCAACACCGCGUGCACGAUGACGGCCUUCGGGUUGUAAAGUGCUUUUAGAGGAGAUGAGAAAGGACAGUAUCCUCUGAAUAAGCCUCGGCGGACUACGUGCCAGCAGCCGCGGUAAAACGUAGGAGGCAAGCGUUAUCCGGAUUUAUUGGGCGUAAAGCGUGUGCAGGCGGUCUAGCAAGUUGGAUGUGAAAUCUCCCGGCUUAACUGGGAGAGGUCGUUCAAUACUGCUAGACUAGAGAAUGGGGAGAGGGAGGUGGAAUUCCGGGGGUAGGUGGUGAAAUGCGUAGAUGUCCCGGAGGAACACCAGUGGCGAAAAGCGGCCUCCUAGACCAUUUCUUGACGCGUAGACACGAAAGCUAGGGUAGCAAACGGGAUUAGAGACCCCGGUAGUCCUAGCUGUAAACGAUGUAACUUGGUUGUUGGCGGAUUAAUCUGGCGGUACCGUACUAACGCGAUAAUCUACCGCCUGGGGACUGU